ACAGCUGCUUUAUGAAUACCUGAUGAUAACCCAUGAAAAGAUUCAUCCCCGUGCCGGCAGGUAUGGAUUUAAUACGGAGCUGUAUCCCGAAUCUCCCCAACACACCCUCUGGUGAUACUGCAAAUACAGCCGUGAGGCUGCUUCCAUUCCAACUGCCUCUUUGCACCCCAGUAGUGUAUAUACCAGAGCCAAAACUGUGGUCAGAAUGUAUUCCUGAGGCUUUCUGCAAUGUAAGUGUCAGUCAUGCAAUUUUUUUUCGGUGAAUUUUGCCUUCUAUUGUCAUUUUAUUCUCAUAAUUCAAAAAAAAAAAAAAAAAAAAACACAACGAUUUUUUUUUGGUGUGUGGAGUAACUUUUGAAUAAUAAGGCAAAAAAAUUUGCUUCAACUCAAUAGCUGCAUCCGUAAGGAAUAAUGACAGUAAUGUUCCAAUGUCAGUGUUCCUUUUUGUAAUAAUAAGCAUACAGUGCUGUAUGACUACACGCACAAAGAUAUCGGGUGUUGAUUGUAUUAACAUGGAACUUUAUUUUAGUAAUGUGGGUUUUUUAUUAUUAUUUAUUUUAUUUCUGCAGCUUGGAAAGUCUCUAAGCUAUUCUGAUUUCAGAAUCCCCCUCCUCAGUAAUCAGAGAGAAAGCUUUCAGGCCUCUGUAUCCUUGGGUAGAGACACACCCAUCUAUCUGCCAUUACAUUCCUUUCCAGAUGACAUGUCUAUUCAAGGCAAAGCUCUGACAACGUCCUUCAUGGCGACAUCUAAGUUAAUUAGACCACUUUCAGAAGACAGGAUUGCAUUUUGUAUUUCUGCACUUCUACAGUCGCACAAGUACAGAUGAAAGCAACGUUCCUGCAGAGCAUCGUUCUCCCCACAUACAAACCUGCGUGGGAGCACGUUACUGAGGGCUGAGUCCAACUCUGCUUUUCAGGAAACUAUCUUAUGCUUCCAAUACUUGGACUUUUAGUUCUUUUAUGCACUUAGAAGUCUGCACCAAUACCAUAUUCACCUGAAUUUAGUAGUCCAUCAAAAAAAAAAGCAAGGAUCCGCUUGCCAACUGCUUACAUCAUAAAGCCAAAAGUUACUAGAAGUACAAAGGAAAGGGAGUUGGGACAAAAUUAUUAUUUUUUAAGAAAAAACAUUCAAAAUGUUCUGUAGUAAGGUUAAUAGGUAAUAGCUUCUGUACUUAAUAGGCCUCUAAAAUGAAAUAAUAAUGUGUUCCACUUUCUCACAGGAUACUCAGAAUUUAAUAUUUGUGAAUUCCUUCCAUGUUAAAACACACCACCAUCUGCAAAACAAAUCCAGUCAGUCACUUUCUUCAAAGUGAUGUAACUUCUUGAGAGGUAAUCUGCAAUAUUUUUUUUGUUAUAAAUAAAACAUCUAUUCCAGAUUUACAAAAGGCUCUUUAAAAAAGGCUUCAAAUUUAACUUUCUCCUUAGAUAAUGUAGAAAUAAAAGGGGAAAAAAACUAUAAAAUAAGUAGGGUUAAAAGUAGUAACAGUGAAAGGAGACACAAAAAGCUUCCAGGACGUGUAUCUAAAACUUGUAUAUUUACUACCAUGAACAAAGACUGUGGCUAUACUGAGGAGAGGUGGAAUAAAGAGAAAAUACUGAUCUACAUAUUCCCAUUGCUAGGCAGGGGGGUUGGAACUACAUGAUCCUUGGGGUCCCUUCCAACCCGGGUGAUUCUGUGAUACAUAUAGACUGGUUUUAUAUUUAUCCUGAAAAUACACCAAUUACAUCAGAACAAACAAAACCCAAGAAAUCAGAAGUUGUAACUUUUGAGCACAUCUGAUUACCACAUGCUGUAUGAGAGGGAAAAAAAAAUCAACAUACGUAGAUGGCAAUUGAAACACUUUUCUAUGGGGAAGGAAGUCACAUUGAAGACAUGCUACAUGAAACAAUUAAACACUUAGAGAAUAAGCAACUCCAAAUUUGAGAAAACAGACUUUUUUUGUUAAGUGGUAGUUACUUAUUGAUUGAAGCACUUUUGCCAUGCAAGUAGUAUUUUUCCUAAGUUCUAAACAGAGAGAAAAUGAUGCAUUUGUAAAUUAGUACAGAAAUGUACGGUGUCACUGCAAAAGUCACUGCCAGAAUCUGAAUGUGAAGGUUCUCAUCUGUUUAUUCUCUCCAAUAGAAUUUAAGGGAUUUAUUAUGUGCUCUCACUAGUGACAGUGAAACACUAACUAGUAAAACUACUUACCUUUGUCACAAGAGAUAUGAAAUACUGCACAUAAAUACAACUGAAAAGUGUCUUUUAGCAUAACCUUUUGAGGACAACCUUCUUAAAUACAGAAAGCCUUUAUUUAUUCUGCAGUACUUAGCUUGUCUUCAAUGAUACCCAAAUAGGGGGAAAAAAGCCCAACCCAAGGUGCUGUAUCACAAGACAAAGAUCUGAUUUACCACAAGUUAACUGUUUUCUUAACAGGCCUAGUAGCCAAUAGUUUUCAACUGUUCAGAUCACCUUUACCUGUAGAAAUAAUCAGCACGCUAACUUACACUUAGGCCCCAAGACUUUCUGUAGGAACUGCUAUGUGUAGAAAUGCCUGCCUAGUAGGGCUUACAGAUAGCUUUGUUAAAAUUGAAGCCUUCUGUUAAGUAAGAUGACCUGACGUGAGUUAUUCUCGUGUGCAGGUCUCACCACAAAGCUGGGAACUAAGUUUUCAUAACAUGCUGCAUUGCUGCUUUGUGAAAACAUUUCCAAUACAAUUAACAAUAAGCAGCUGUUGGGAGAAGUGAACAGCAGAAGCUCUGUAGCACCUAGCCUCUGAGUUGGCUG